AGAGUUUGACCCUGGCUCAGAAUGAACGCUGGCGGCGUGCUUAAUACAUGCAAGUCGUGCGAGAAAGGGGGGCAACCCCUGAGUACAGCGGCGAACGGGUGAGUAACACGUAAGUAACCUGCCUUUAAGUUUGGGACAACCCCGAGAAAUCGGGGCUAAUACCGGGUGUGAUCCAUUUUCCGCAUGGUUAGUGGAUUAAAGAUGACCUCUCCUUGGAAGUUAUCGCUUAGAGAUGGACUUGCGUACCAUUAGCUAGUUGGUAGGGUAAUGGCCUACCAAGGCUGUGAUGGUUAGCCGGCCUGAGAGGGUGUACGGCCACAUUGGGACUGAGAUACGGCCCAGACUCCUACGGGAGGCAGCAGUAGGGAAUUUUGCGCGAUGGACGAAAGUCUGACGCAGCAACGCCGCGUGAGUGAUGAAGGUCUUCGGAUUGUAAAGCUCUGUUGAGUGGGAAGAAAAACUUAGGGAUUAAUACGUCUUAAGUCUGACGGUACCACUCGAGUAAGCCCCGGCUAACUACGUGCCAGUAGUUGCGGUAAUACGUAGGGGGCAAGCGUUAUUCGGAAUUACUGGGUGUAAAGGGAGCGUAGGCGGGAGAGUAAGUUAGGAGUUUAAACUAUGGGCUUAACCCAUAACCUGCUCUUAAAACUGCUUUUCUUGAGUAUGAAAGAGGGAGACGGAAUUCCAGGUGUAGCGGUGGAAUGCGUAGAUAUCUGGAAGAGCACCAGUUGCGUAGGCGGUCUCCUGGUUCAAUACUGACGCUGAGGCUCGAAAGCUAGGGGAGCAAACAGGAUUAGAUACCCUGGUAGUCCUAGCCUUAAACGAUGGACACUAGAUGCUGGAUCGGUUUUCCGUUCAGUGUCGUAGCUAACGCGUUAAGUGUCCCACCUGGGGAGUACGCUCGCAAGGGUGAAACUCAAAGGAAUUGACGG
rnacentral:rRNA from 1 species